GGUAUCCCUGUGUUGCUUACCCGCGGAAAGGAAUUCUAUGGUUUUGGUGUCCCCAUCCGCCUUGUGCCCUACGGGGUGCGGGGUGGACGCGAGGCGGGCUCCGUGUUCCCCGCGCGUUGAGUGUGUUGACGCUUGACCGCUGUGGCCCAUGGGGUCUCGACCCGUGCUCUCGGAURCGGAAUGUUGUGUGUGGGCGUGGGGUCUCGGCCUCUUCUCGUCCAAGCUACACGCAUUGUCCCCUAACAUGAACGACCGUCGCGCCCGUCUUGAUCGACYGACCGAGCCCCCGUUGUGGGUUUUCGGGAGGGCGGCUCAUGCGGA
rnacentral:misc_RNA from 1 species